rnacentral:rRNA from 1 species
UACGAAGGUCCCGAGCGUUAUCCGGAUUUACUGGGCGUAAAGCGUCUGUAGCCUGAUAAAUAAGUCUGUUUUUAAAACUCUCAGCUCAACUGAGAAGCAGGAAUAGAUACUAUUUGACUAGAGGUUAUUGGAGGUUAGUGGAAUUUCCGGUGGAGCGGUGAAAUGUGUUGAUAUCGGAAAGAAUGCCAAAAGCGAAAGCAGCUAACUACAAUAAACCUGACGGUGAGAGACGAAAGCUUGGGUAGCAAACAGG